rnacentral:rRNA from 1 species
GAUGAACGCUGGCGGCGUGCCUAAUACAUGCAAGUCGAGCGAACAGAUAAGGAGCUUGCUCCUUUGACGUUAGCGGCGGACGGGUGAGUAACACGUGGGUAACCUACCUAUAAGACUGGAAUAACUCCGGGAAACCGGGGCUAAUGCCGGAUAACAUUUAGAACCGCAUGGUUCUAAAGUGAAAGAUGGUUUUGCUAUCACUUAUAGAUGGACCCGCGCCGUAUUAGCUAGUUGGUAAGGUAACGGCUUACCAAGGCAACGAUACGUAGCCGACCCGAGAGGGUGAUCGGCCACACUGGAACUGAGACACGGUCCAGACUCCUACGGGAGGCAGCAGUAGGGAAUCUUCCGCAAUGGGCGAAAGCCUGACGGAGCAACGCCGCGUGAGUGAUGAAGGUCUUCGGAUCGUAAAACUCUGUUAUUAGGGAAGAACAAAUGUGUAAGUAACUGUGCACGUCUUGACGGUACCUAAUCAGAAAGCCACGGCUAACUACGUG